rnacentral:lncRNA from 1 species
ACAGAGACAAACUUUGAACUCCCACUCUCUCUCUCUCUCUCUCUCUCUCUAAACAAACCAGCAGUCACUACCAUCAAAUCCACCACCACCCACUAACAACAACCACCACCAGAUCUAAAGCGUGUCCCUGUUUUCAACCAUCACCAGCCGCUGCCACCGUCACCUCCUGCUACUAAGCACCCACACCCUCUCUCUAAAUCCGGCGCCCACACCACCGAAAAGCCUCUGAGACUGAAGAGAUUCCAAUCGACUAUUCUGGAUGUUGAAGCACAAUGACAUUCUCAAUAACCAUGUAUUGUUCUGAUAUUAAGCUCGUUUUGCUGAACAAAUUCUAAGAUCGAUGAGAUAUUAUAGAUUAAUUUGUUCUCUGAAUCAAUACGGCACCAUCCUUAGUAAUCAGAAUUAUUUGACAUAGUACGGAAUGUUGCGAUUGGAAUAAACAGAAAAGGUUCUUUCUUCAUUGUUUGAAUAUCAUGGGAAUUAAAGGGAGUUGUGAUUUCAAGUGAGACUCGAGAUCUAUUGUUGUCAAGCGACAGAAAGAUUGCUCUCUUUCUCUGUCUUUACAUGUGAUUCAGUUCCUUAAUUUGCUUGAUUAUUUUAUCUGGUUUCUUUUCUUUUUUGAUUCUGAUAUCUUCUUCAUUUGUUGUAAAUCUAACCUCUCUAGGUCCUUAAUUUGCUUGAUUAUUUUCUCUGGUUUCUUUUCUUUUCUGAUUCUGAUUUCUUCUUCAUUUGUUGCAAAUCUGACCCUCUCUGAUUGUAAGAUUAUAAAAAUUAUUGUUUUCAUAAGAUUGUAAAUGCUAUUUUCUUUUAUUUACACUAUAAAUAAUUAAGUAAAAAGAUUAAAAAGCCCUUAAGUGAAUAGACUUAACUGAAAAUUUUAACCAGGUUAGUGCUAAAAGGCGAAAGACGUAAUGAGUUUUCCAAAUAAAGGAUUGUGACUGUAAUUACUGAAGUUAAAUGGCAUCCAUUUCAAUUCGAUAUAAACAUAAACGAUGAAAAGUGUAAUUACCCCUUUUUUAUUAUAACAACUUCUACCUGUAUUUAUAUGCAAAAAAUUAGAUAAAAACGAAAUUUUUACAUGUAAAGGAUAAGUAAAUCACAUGUUGGUGAUUAAACAAGGAAUUUUUGAAAUAAGACCCUAUGGUGUAAACCGUGAUGGGUCGUGUGGGUAAGAUUGUAAGUAACCACCUUUUACAAAAAACAAUACAUGGUUAAAUUGAGAUGCCUAACGGGUAGGCUAAGAAUGGCUCAAAUGGAAAACCGGGUCAAACGGGUUAAAUGGCGAUGUUAUCACCAUUUAAAUAUGAUAUAUAAUGCUUUUUCUUGUUAAGUCAUAUAUUUACAGGUAAUCAUAAUGUACGGGCAUGCAUUGCCAUGAAUUAAUAAAAUGGAUCGCAAGGUAUUGCUAAUGAGUAUUGCUUCGACUAGCGUCAGGUAUGUGUAAUGGAUCAUACACGGGUAAGGUGCACAAUUAGCAAAGUGCACAGGUCAGUGCACAGAUCAGUGCACAUUGAACAACUUAGCUAAGUGCACAGCUCAGUGCAUAGUUUAACAAAAUGCACAGUACACAGUUAGCAAAGUGAAAUGGCCAGUGCAUAGUGCACAGUUUAGCAUAGUGCACAUGUCAGUGUACAACAUAGCAUAGUGCACAGGUCAGUGCACAGUGUAUAACUUAGCAAAGCACACAUGUCAAUGAACAGCUUAGCAAAGUGCACAGGUCAGUGCACAGUUUGGCAAAGUGCACCGAUCUUGCUGAAGGCGUUUCAAUUACGAUACAUGACAGAACCUUAGUCAUUCAAAACAUUUUCUUUUAUCAUUUUCGAUCUGUUAACACAAGUGAAAUAUAAACACUAAUCGUUUUUGGUGUUUAUGGUAGGAUUUCGCAAAGGCUGGAGACGAAUGGAUGACCAAACACGUGAAGAACCAAAUACUAUUAAACUGCUAUCUCUUUGGAACGUUAAUGGGAAGGUUGAAGCAUGAUCAUGCACGACAAAGCUUUCAAAUUUAAACUUUAAUAUUGAAAAAUGUAAAUCAAGUGUAAUAAUCCGUUAUGUCGGAUAGUCUGGUU